rnacentral:rRNA from 1 species
CCUACGGGAGGCAGCAGUGAGGAAUAUUGGUCAAUGGGGGAAACCCUGAAGCAGCAACGCCGCGUGGAGGAUGAAGGGUCUCGGAUUGUAAACUCCUGUUGGUAGAGAAGAUAAUGACGGUAUCUGACGAAUAAGCACCGGCUAACUCCGUGCCAGCAGCCGCGGUAAUACGGAGGGUGCAAGCGUUACCCGGAAUCACUGGGCGUAAAGGGGGCGUAGACGGGGUAGCAAGUCAGAUGUGAAAUCCUAGGGCUUAACCAUAGAACUGCAUUUGAAACUGUUUUUCUGGAGUAUGGGAGAGGUAGGUGGAAUUCCUGGUGUAGGGGUAAAAUGCGUAGAGAUCAAGAGGAAUACUGAUGGCGAAGGCGACCUGCUAGACCAUAACUGACGCUGAUGCGCGAAAGCGUGGGGAGCAAACAGGAUUAGAUACCCGAGUAGUC